GAUGAACGCUGGCGGCGUGCCUAAUACAUGCAAGUCGAGCGAACAGAUAAGGAGCUUGCUCCUUUGACGUUAGCGGCGGACGGGUGAGUAACACGUGGAUAACCUACCUAUAAGACUGGGAUAACUUCGGGAAACCGGAGCUAAUGCCGGAUAACAUAUUGAACCGCAUGGUUCAAUAGUGAAAGGCGGCUUUGCUGUCACUUAUAGAUGGAUCCGCGCCGUAUUAGCUAGUUGGUAAGGUAACGGCUUACCAAGGCAACGAUACGUAGCCGACCUGAGAGGGUGAUCGGCCACACUGGAACUGAGACACGGUCCAGACUCCUACGGGAGGCAGCAGUAGGGAAUCUUCCGCAAUGGGCGAAAGCCUGACGGAGCAACGCCGCGUGAGUGAUGAAGGUCUUCGGAUCGUAAAACUCUGUUAUCAGGGAAGAACAAAUGUGUAAGUAACUGUGCACAUCUUGACGGUACCUGAUCAGAAAGCCACGGCUAACUACGUG
rnacentral:rRNA from 1 species